rnacentral:rRNA from 1 species
CGUGUAGGCGGAAUGGAAGGUGCCAUAGUGAAAUCCCUCGGCUCAACCGAGGAACUGCUUGGCAAACCAUCAUUCUUGAGACAGGCAGAGGCGACUGGAACGUUCGGUGGAGCGGUGAAAUGCGUAGAGAUCGAACGGAACACCAGUGGCGAAGGCGGGUCGCUGGGCCUGUUCUGACGCUGAGACGCGAAAGCGUGGGUAGCAAACA